rnacentral:tRNA from 1 species
GUUAAUAUAGUUUAAAAAAACAUUAGACCGUGGCUCUAAAGACAGGAGUUAAAACCUCCUUAUAAACC